UUUUUUUUUUUUUUUUUUUAGGGACUCACCUGUGGUAUAUGGAAGUUCCCAGGCUAGGGGUCCAAUCAGAGCUGCAGCUGCCAGCCUACGUCACAGCCAUAGGAACCCUGAAUCCAAGUGGCAUCUGUGACCUACACUACAGCUCACAGCAAUGGUGGAUCCUUAACCCACUGAGUGAGGCCAGGGAUAGAACCCGCAUCCUCAUGGACACUAGUCAGGUUUGUUACCACUGAGCCAUGGCAGGAACUCCUAUGUUAGGUAUUUAUCAAUGGACAUACACUUUCUCUUUGUAGUUAAAAGAGAAAAAUAAAUUUGUUAUCACUUGUUUUCGACCUAGUUGAAGGCUUAAAAGUUUACAGUCAUAAAGUUAAAAUGCAUUGGAAGAAUAUCUCCAUCAAGGACACAGCCUAUUGUGCCGUUUGUUUGCAUCUGCGGGGAAACCCAAUUAUAACAGCUAUUUUCAAGAACUCAUAUCACUGGAGACUGAGCAGUGCAACCCUGCAGUAGAGCAAGCAAAUAACGAGACGUCCUGAAAAACUGACCUAGACAGGGACACGAACAUGGUGAGCUCACCCACAUUCUGUUAUUCUCCCAUGGAAUUCUACAUUUGCUCUAAGUAUGGUUGCUGAUAUUAAUGUAAAUAAUGAGACUCUAGGCGUUCCCAUUGUGGUGCAGUGGUUAGCGAAUCCGACUAGGAACCAUGAGGUUUGGCUACAGCUCCGAUUCGACCCCUAGCCUGGGAACCUCCAUAUACCACAGGAGGGGCCCUAGAAAAGACAAAAAGACAAAAACAAACAAACAAACAAAAAAAACCUCUAAUUAAUCACUGAGCUGAUUUGAGUAAUUGUGUGCUUCAGGCAAAGUGAGGUGCGAAGACUGUUGGCCAUAGGUUCCAAAAUUUCUCUUUUUAGGUUGGACCUGGUAAGUUUUUCUUUUCUUUUUUUUUCUUUUUUUUUUUCUUUUUUUUUGUCUUUUGUCUUUUUUAGGGCCACUCCCAUGGCAUAUGGAGGUUCCCAGGGCAGGGGUCUAAUUGGAACUGUUGCUGCCGGCCUACCCCAGAGCCACGGCAACGUGGGGUCCAAGCCUCGUCUGUAACCUACACCACAGCUCAGGGCAACGCCAGAUCCCUAACCCACUGAGCGAGGCCAGGGAUCGAACCUGCAACCUCAUAGUUCCUAGUCGGAUGCGUUUCCGCUGCACCACAAUGGGAACUCCGGACCUGGUAAGUUUGACAACCAAAUACCUCUUUGGUAAACUUUAUGUAAGACUGGCGUAAAGUGAAGGAAGUAGGUCCUUAAUCAGUUGUUGCUACCACUUCUUUAAGAUCCAUCUCAAUGACACUUUUACUGAGCCUGCUCUAAUCCAGGGCAGGACACACCAUAUUUCCAUGAGAAACAAGGGUCCUUCUUCCCAGUCAUUCCCUGAGGGGCAUGGGUGUUUAGGGAACGAAUUUCUCCCUAAUUUUGUUUUCACCUUAUAUAAGAGCUGAGGGUUCCUUAAUUUAAAAUAAAAAUAGUUAAGAUUUGACCCAGGCCUUCUAAGUUCACUCAUGAGGAGAUUACCAAGGGGUAAAGCUGCUCAGUGAGAUGGCAGGAGUCCUGGAUCCUCCUCUUCCUUCUGUUGUGGAACCUGGGGAACAACCUCUAUUCUUUCUGAGUCUUAUUCCCUCUUUGUUACAUGAAAUGGAUUUCAAAAAUUUUUCUUUGCGGUCUCUUCUCAAUAUGAGACUUUAAUUGAGAUGAGGUCUCUUUCUUCUUGCUAUUUAGGCAGGAUGCCUCCUCACGGACCUCCUCUUGCUUCUUGCUUCCUCCCAGAGGUUAUGAAUGUCACAUCAUUAAGGGUGACAGACCAACAAACGCAUCUGUCCUCUCCACCAUCACUAUUCUCCCAGACUUCUGACAUGGCCUUAAACACAAAGCUUCACCUUCUCUCUUUUGGUCCCAUGAAUAGUUCUUGAUAAAGAAUGUUCUUUAAAAAACGAAAAAAACAACAAAAAAACAACAACAAAAAGCCACACCGCUAUAUCUUAUAAUUUCACUUCUCUCCUUAAACUAUUAGAAAUGGCUUCAUGUGGCUUGUAGUCUGACUCCAAAUCCUUGACAUGGCUCAUCAGACUCCUUACACUUUAGUCCCUGCUUAUACGUCUGGCAUCUUCUCAUGCCACCCUCCUCUUUUACUUUGCUGCAGCCUAGAUGUGGCCCACAGAAGACUGAGAUGGUGGCCAGUGAGCAUGUUUUAGUAUAAGUUUUCUGCAAUAAGCACAAAAGAUAUACUUUUGCUGAAGGAACCUGGUGACAUCAGGUAGAGGGAUGAUGUUGCUGGAUGUAGCUUCUUAAGUCUUCCUAGUUUUUCAUGGGAGAUGCGCUCAGUUUUGUGCUCAUGGAAGUUUGGGUAAGGACUGGCAUCUUCUGUCUCCAAACGUGUUCCCCGAAGGUCCAGAGUAAGUAUAUCAUGUGGUUGCAAAAUCUGCCUUUUUCUGGCCAUCACCUGGUUGUAACAUUCUACUUCUUGGUAUAUAGUCUGCAUAAGCUAACAGGGUCAUCUUGCUGCAUGAUUCGCAAGUUAUAUAACAAUGUUUAGCUAUCACACUUGGACAGCUGCAUGGGACAAUAAACAGUCUACAGGCAGGCAUACCUGGUGAUACCUUAAGGCCCAGGAUGGAGCUACUACCGCAGGCCUGGCUGGGGGUGACCAUACAGCCAUGUGGACCUUGACUUAGUUCUGCCAGUGCCAUGAACCAUCCCACCAGAGGGCGUUCACCUGCGCUGUCAAUUCUGCUCGGAUUAGUUAGUCUUUCCAAACCCCACCUUAUACCUUCCUUUCCACUGAGAUAAUUCCUAGUCGUUGUUCACAUCUUCUCAAUAUGCAAGUCACUUCCUUGCAAAAACUUGUCCUGUUCUUUCAGUCUAGGUGGGAUGUCCCUUCUUAUGCUUCUGCAAUACCCUUAACAUCCCCUAUAGCGUCAUUACACUUCUCAUUCAAUGACCAUCACCACUUCUACACUGUCAACUCUUUCAAGAAAGAUGAUCUAAUUCAUGCUAAAAGAACCUAAAGCGCAGAGUCUGGCAGGUAGUGGUCUGUCACCCAGUGCAAUGUCUAUUACACAAAUAAAGGAAUAAAUGAAUGAUGGACGAGGAAGACAUAGGUGAGAAGAAGGAGGGGUUUACAGGGAGGGAGCGGAAGUACUUCCUGCUGCUGCUGGAACCACAAAGAACCAGGAAAGAAAAUGAAGAAGGCUUUCCUGCCGGGCACCCAAGCCUGGCUUUAGCUUCCAAGGAAGUGUACUGUUAGACUCCUUCCAGGACUCCUAAGGAAGAGAAACCACGUGGAAUAAGACUCGUGGAGAACACUGGCAGUUCAGGGAAAGUUCUGAGCCCAACUCAGAGGAGAGCAGUUCUGAGCCCAACUCCAUGGAUAGUCCAACCAAUACCAGGGCCUUUUCUUUUCUCUCUCUCUCUCUCUUUUUUUUUUUUUUUUAAAUGGCUGCCCCUGUGGAAUGUGGAAGUUCCCAGGCCAGGGACUGAAUCUGUAUCACAGCAGCAACCUGAGCUGCUGCAUUAACAACACCAGAGCCUCAACUCACUGUACCCUAAGGGAAAUCCCUACAGGGGCUUUUGUAAUUGUCAACUGUGAGAAACUAAAUUUUUCCUUUGUUGCCUAUGUUUCCUUCAUAUUUCCCCCCAUUGAUAACAAAAGUAUAAAAAAUAAGAAAAAGAAGAGAACCCCAAGGAGGCUUUGUGUUUGCUUAGAUGAUGGGCUAGCAUUCUACAUUUUCAUUCUCAGUGGGGCAGAGAAGGGAGGCUACCAUGGGCAGAAGCAUGGAAAAGAAAUAGGAGAAGAAACAAAGGAUUUAUCCAGCAAGAGAGACAGGAGGAAGAAGGAAGUGGACCAAAGCUGCCCUGAGAUUCUCAUCCCACAGACCUAUCAGGUCCAUUUCCCCUAACCUCUCCUCCCCAAAUCAACAAUGCUCAUCUCUUCUGAUUCUCUUCUAAUUACGUAUGUUCCCCUUUUUUGUUUAUCUUCUAGAAUCAGACUAGCACCUUUGCUCCAGGACAUAGGGUCCAUUUCCAAUGGCUAAAAGCUCUGAUGCACUGAGAGUAUCAUUCAUAUACCAGGCAACCUAAAGUAGAAGUGUGAACACACAUUCCUUGGAAAAUAUGGGUAGAUCUGACUAAUUACCACAAGCUAACUGUUGUAAAAAAACAAAAACAAAAACAAAAAAAACCAAAAACACCAUAAUCACAGAACACUCAUGAGAAAAAGUUACUCAAGUUUAAUGAGGGUCAGUGGAGGAAGAAAUGGGAAGAGGGUCCUUGCUCCACACAGUGAUUCAGGGACUCAGACUUUUCCAAAUCUGUUGCUCUUCCACCUUCUAGGUUAUGUCUUAUUCUAUAUUCAGCCACUAGAUGGGGAAAGAGAGAAGAAUGCUCCUGGGAAGGUUGUAUUGGCUAGACCUGAGGAUGGCAUACAUGUGUACUCACAUUCUACAGGCUGCGGCUAAGUCAUGUGGCUGUGCCCAGUUACAAGUGUGGCUGAGAUAUGAUUGUACUAGUUUCCUAAGCUUGCCAUAACAAAGGAAACAAAGUGGGUGGCGUAAAAUAACAGAACUUUAUUCUCUCACAGUUAUGGAGGAUGGAAUUCUGAAAUCAAGGUGUUAGAGCCAUGCUCCUUCUGAGAGCUUAGAGAAGCAUCCAUCCUUGCCUCUUUCCUGCUUCUGGUGGUUGCCGGCAAUUGGUCUUUCUUGGCUUGCAGCUGCAUUGCUCCUAUUUCUGCCUCAGUCUUCAUAUGACUGCCUUCUCACGGUGCCCAAAUUUUCCUCUUUUUAUAAGGAUACCUGUCACUGGACUAAGGCUCACCCUAAUCUAUUAUGACCUCACUUUAACAUGAUUGCUUCUACAAAAGGCCCUAUUCCCAAGUCAGGCCACAUUCACAGGAACUGGAGGUUAGGACUUAAACGUAUCCUUUUUUUGGGGGGGGGGGGAGAGGACAGUUCAACCCAUGACAGUGGUCUAGCUAUCUAGGAGGGGAAGACAAAAUUGUUUGAUGAAUCGCUGUCCAAUCUGUAUCUAGUUAGUUGUUGAGUUUCUCUAACACAAGUAAUAGGAAACAGGAAAGGUUUUGAGGGUUUUAGAGAACUAAGCCUUUAUUGGUAUCAAUGAUUCUCUAAAAAAUAUAUUUUUUAACACCAGACAAUUUUGACAAAUAAACUUUUGGAAGAUAAUCUAUCUCUAAGGCAUAAUUGCUUAUACUACGGGGACAUUUACCCCCCCCCCCCAAAUAAUGCCACAAUUUUUUUUUAAAGCAGUAUGUCUCAGAUUUCAUAAUACUCUUGAUUCUAAUGGCUUAAUAGAACAGAGUAGGCAUAUUAAAAUUAAUCUAAUCACCUCUAAAACUCCAUACCAAUAAAAUAUUCUUAGCAUAAAACUAAGAAAGGUUUCCUUUUUCUCCUUGGGUCACUGUCAUCUGACUGUGGUUUCUGCUCUUGGCAUUUUCCAUCUUGGCUUUUGCCCAUCUUAUUGCACUUUAUUAAGUGGCUGCUCUUCACUGAAGCUGGCCAUGAUUUAAUAAAAACAACAACAACAACAACAACAACAAUGAACAGUGACUUUAGAAUCAGAAGAACAUUAGUUCUGCAGCUUAUCAACCUUGUUACCCUGGGAAAGUCACCAAAACUGCUUUCUACCUCAGUUUUUUUUUUUUUCCCUACCUGUAUUAUGCUUGAUGUUGACCUUUUACUAGUGUGGUUAUAAGAAUCCCAUAAAGUCACUAAAUAUUUGAGUGUCUGCCAUAUGCCAGUAUUGUUAUAAGUACUUGGGAUAUGUCAGUGAGCAAAGAUCUCAAGCCUUCAUGGAUCUUCCAUUGUGGGGCUAAAAAUUAUAUAAAUUAUAAAAUGCUUUAAAAUGUAAGGUACUGUCAUGACUGCUAUUUUAUCUGCAGCAACUCCAGUUUCUCAAAUAUCUUUAAAAAUUGUAUUGAAAUGCUACAGCAUAGCUCUCUCAGAUGUCAGAAGGUAUGCAAAAUCAUCAAAUAAAUGAAGACUUUACCCAUUAACAGUUUAACCAUAAAUAUAAACUCAUGGUAAAUAUUUAAAAUGUUUCCUUAUUGCAUUUAAAAAUAAGCCUGGGGCCCCUAUUAUAUGCCAUACAAUGCAUUAGGUUCCAUACGGGAUGAGAAGAUAGACACUAAUCCUGCCCUUCAGGAGCUUAGCUUCUGGUUGGACACAUGCCGGCUAAAGACUACUCACUGAGGACAGAAGAGGAAUGCCCAGUAAGAAGGCACAGAGAAAUUGAUUGAAAGCUUCAAAGAGAAACCCAAAUGCUCACAACACUACAACCUGUUGUCAAUCUCUGCAUGUAUAAAUUGUACCUUCUAGGAGUUCCCAUCGUGGCUCAGUGGAAACGAAUGUGACUAGCAUCCAUGAGGAUGCAGGUUUGAUCCCUGGUCUCACUCAGUGGGUUAAGGAUCCAGUGUUGCUGUGAACUGUGGUGUAGGCCAGUGGUAUAGCUCCAUUUCAACCUCUAGCCUGGUAACCUCCAUAUGCCGUGGGUGUGACCCUAAAAAGAUAAAUAAAGAAAUAGAUAAGUAAAUAAAUAAAUAAAUUGUAUCUUCUAAUGCUAUAAUGACUAAACUACUGCUAGCACCUAUUUAUCUACUUGCUGAGAUUUUUAUUUUACAGUUUGAAUAUGGGUGCUUACCUCUGUGGUAUUCUGGUCUAGUGUGUGUGCAGUACAUUCACUCUGUAAAGAAAGUACAUUGUAUAAAAGUUUACUUUUCAGAAGCAGCAGCCAGGAGUUUGUAGCUCCACUGUCAACAUCGGAGACCUGCGUCCGAGUGUCUAAGCCAUGGGUUAUAUAUUUGGAUAUUGACAAAGAAGGCACUGUUAGGAGAGACUAUCCAAACCUAACCAGAAGUUGCUAAUUCAUAAAGUUGUCAAAUACAAAGUUCACCUGUUUGCGAUUUACUUUGCAGAAGUGACAUAAAAACAAUGAUUGGGCUCCUCCUCGGGCUAUCAAACCCAUUGACUGAAAAACAUCUGGCAUCAAAUGAGAAUGAAGGUGUUAGUAACACAUCUGUCCUGGAGAUCCAGAUGCUGGCAAAGUUUUCCUUCUUCCGCUCUUUUUCUCUUUUGCCAUGUCAUUGGUUUGCUAAUGUAUUUGAUAAAAAAAAAAAAAAAAA
rnacentral:lncRNA from 1 species